AUUGAACGCUGGCGGCAGGCCUAACACAUGCAAGUCGAGCGGAUGAAGGGAGCUUGCUCCUGGAUUCAGCGGCGGACGGGUGAGUAAUGCCUAGGAAUCUGCCUGGUAGUGGGGGAUAACGUCCGGAAACGGGCGCUAAUACCGCAUACGUCCUGAGGGAGAAAGUGGGGGAUCUUCGGACCUCGCGCUAUCAGAUGAGCCUAGGUCGGAUUAGCUAGUUGGUGGGGUAAAGGCCUACCAAGGCGACGAUCCGUAACUGGUCUGAGAGGAUGAUCAGUCACACUGGAACUGAGACACGGUCCAGACUCCUACGGGAGUCAGCAGUGGGGAAUAUUGGACAAUGGGCGAAAGCCUGAUCCAGCCAUGCCGCGUGUGUGAAGAAGGUCUUCGGAUUGUAAAGCACUUUAAGUUGGGAGGAGGGGCAGUAAGUUAAUACCUUGCUGUUUUGACGUUACCAACAGAAUAAGCACCGGCUAACUUCGUG
rnacentral:rRNA from 1 species